GGGGAAGGGCAUGAGACAGGUCACUUUGCCCAAAUGACAAGUUGGUGAUGACCCGAGACUCUGUUGUGAUGCAGUGAUUGUUGGGUCAGCCCCCAGGGGCUGCAGCAUUUCACACCAGGCUGUCGCCCAGAGCACAUGGCUGCUGCCUGUGGGUCUGAGUACAGGGACCAGGGUGAUGGAGCAGGGCCUUUGGGACCAACCUGCUUCCAUUGCUAAAGGGAACGUGAGACACAGAAGGAUGAAGGAAAGUAUUCUUGUCCAACUGCAACGUAAUCUCUUAUUUCUGUUGAUUUGAUCACUGCAGCUUGUCUGUCAGAAGUAGUAAGAGAACCUGUUCCUAUCAAGAGGUAAGGAAUGCACCUUCUCCUAACAAUGGAGUGGAAACUAACCAAUCUGAGUGUACUUUCAGGUGAAGGAAGUGAAUCUAGCCUUUGCUGUCAAAGGCUACAAGCAGUUUCAUAAGAAUAAAGCAAGAUACAUAACCAAAGCUUCUGAGGUUACAGAAGUAUUGACUUGUUCUAGCCAAGAAUAAGGAAAGCACUUAUACCUACUAGAUUAACAGUACAGCUGAUUGAAUGGAGAGAAAGAGAGAAACCAAUCCAGCAAUUCACCACACAGAAGGUGUGUAUUUAUAUUCCCUAUUACAAAAUGAAUCCAAUGACAAUUCAUUUACAUUUGUUGCCUGACAAAAAUAUGGUCUGUCAAACAUUGAUCUUUGCAGAAGGUCAUAUUUCAAGAUGCAAGGAUGACACAUGGCUGUAGUUUACGGGAAGGAAUUAGCGGAUCCAUCCUUUUAAGGAGGUAAGAAAUAUGGGAAUGAUGUAUUGUAAUAGUCAAUGGUUCUGGUCAUACUUUCAGGUGGAAGGAAGGUAACUGAGGAAAUCUUCAUCUCUCUAAAGAGCACAAGAAAUUGCUGUACUGAAUAAAGCACUAAAAAUGGGAGCUACCUGUUCAGAUGAAAGGAAAGUAGUUGGUAAUUCUAACCAAUGAUGAUGAUCUCUGCUCCUUUUUCCUUCCCAGAGAAGGCCAUUGCUUGUUCCUACAAGGAUGUAACAGGGAAGUUAUUUCAAAGAACAAGUGCAACUAACCAGAGUGUGAAGAUGAGCAUUGAGCCUGUUCUUGCAUUUGUAGAGAGGAGUUGUCCAGCUGAUUCUAUUUGUGCCUAAUUGAUCAUUGUUGCUUAUUUUUCAGAUGUCAAGAACUAAGUGGAACUGAUCAUUUCUAUCAAGAGGUAAGGAACGCACCUCCUCACAGCAUGGAGGCAGGAAUUAAAGGCUCUUUUUCUAUUUUCAGGUGAAAGGAAGGUCUUACCAUUCAAGGGAGGAUGAGAGGCUGCUGAAUUUAAGAAAAAAGAAGUCAGACAGGUUUUGCUCUUCUGAGAUAUGAAGAGACCAGGUGGUCAUUCCUACCAGGGAGAAGUGAGGCUUAGUGGCAUGGAUGUCCCGGACAAGGAGACAAAAAAAGCCACUUCAAGUAGUUCAGCUAGUCGCAAAUCUGAAUCAAGUCAGCAGAACAUAAGACAUGGAGAUGAGAGAAAUUCAGAUGAGUUGAAUGUUGAGGUUGUGAAAUCUUCAGGAAGUUGCUAGAAGAUCUGGGAUAUCUACAGAAAGGAAACAAGCAAAACUCAUCACUGUUACCAAGAGGAGGAGAGUUACAGAUUCUCAGGAUUUGAGUACAAAGGAAUAGGAAUGCAGCUGAACAGAUCCAACACCUUAAAAGACGAUUGGAUCUCAAAAUAUGAAAGACCCUUCAUUCAAUAAAGCAACAGGAUUGGCUCUGAGGAGAGACGAAGGAAACAGGCAGCGUGGACAGUAUUCAAGACACAAUGUUCAAAAGUUGCUGCUGGGAUGGAAGCAAAGAAGAAAGCCCUGGAGACAGGUUAGUGCUGGGACACAGGCACUAUCCUGGAGGGGCCUGGGACAGGGUGUGUAACCAUAGCGACCAGCGGGUCCUUUCCCCACUGUGGUCCUGGCUCGCAUGCCCAGGGUGAAACCGAUCGCCAUAUUUGGGGUCGGGAAGGAAUUUUCCUCCAGGGCAGAUUGGCCAGAGACCCUGGAGGUUUUUCGCCUUCCUCUGGGGCAUCGAGCAGGGACCAGCCCUUAGGGCCAUUUAGGAACAGACAUAAUAAAAUCCAUCAGAGAGAA